rnacentral:rRNA from 1 species
AGAGUUUGAUCCUGGCUCAGAAUCAACGCUGGCGGCGCGCCUAACACAUGCAAGUCGAACGAGAAAGUGGAGCAAUCCAUGAGUACAGUGGCGUACGGGUGAGUAACACGUGGGUAAUCUACCUCUUAGUGUGGAAUAACCCUGGGAAACCGGGGCUAAUACCGCAUAAGCUCGAGAGAGGAAAGCAGCAAUGCGCUGAGAGAGGAGCCCGCGGCCGAUUAGCUAGUUGGCAGGGUAAAAGCCUACCAAGGCAAAGAUCGGUAGCCGGCCUGAGAGGGCACACGGCCACACUGGCACUGAAACACGGGCCAGGCUCCUACGGGAGGCAGCAGUGGGGAAUCUUGCACAAUGGGCGAAAGCCUGAUGCAGCGACGCCGCGUGAGCGAUGAAGCCCUUCGGGGUGUAAAGCUCUUUCGACGGGAACGAUAAUGACGGUACCCGGAGAAGAAGCUGCGGCUAACUACGUGCCAGCAGCCGCGGUAAUACGUAGGCAGCGAGCGUUGUUCGGAAUUACUGGGCGUAAAGAGUGUGU